rnacentral:rRNA from 1 species
CACGCCCUAAACGAUGCGAACUGGAUGUUGGUCUCAACUCGGAGAUCAGUGUCGAAGCUAACGCGUUAAGUUCGCCGCCUGGGGAGUACGGUCGCAAGACUGAAACUCAAAGGAAUUGACGGGGGCCCGCACAAGCGGUGGAGUAUGUGGUUUAAUUCGAUGCAACGCGAAGAACCUUACCUGGCCUUGACAUGUCCGGAAUCCUGCAGAGAUGCGGGAGUGCCUUCGGGAAUCGGAACACAGGUGC